rnacentral:misc_RNA from 1 species
GAUGAAGAACGUAGCGAAAUGCGAUACGUAAUGUGAAUUGCAGAAUUCAGUGAAUCAUCGAAUCUUUGAACGCAUAUUGCGCUCUUUGGUAUUCCGAAGAGCAUGCUUGUUUGAGUAUCAGUAAACACCUCAAAGCUUUUGGAUUUUUUAAUCGAAAAGCUUUGGACUUGAGCAAUCCCAACACCAAUCUUUUUGAGAUCGGUGGCGGGUUGCUUGAAAUGCAGGUGCAGCUGGACAUUCUCCUGAGCUAAAAGCAUAUUCAUUUAGUCCCGUCAAACGGAUUAUUACUUUUGCUGCAGCUAACAUAAAGGGAGUUUGACCGUAUUGGCUGACUGAUGCAGGAUUUCACAAGGGUCGGCAACGAUUCUUGUUAAACUCCAUCUCAAAUCAAGUAAGACUACCCGCUGAACUUAAGCAUAUCAAUAAGCGGAGGA